GAGGAUGCUUCUCCCUACUCAGAAGAGAGGAAGAAACGGAAACGGGAACUGCGGCCGCCGCUUAAUGGAGCCUUCGGAGCCACCGACUGAGCGAGAGCGCGAGGCGGCACGAGACCGGCACUUCCUUACAGCGCGAGACGGAGACCGAGCGCGAGCCAAGUCCAGGGCGCGCGAGCCAAGUCCAGGGCGCGCGACCCGGAGCAACGCUGGCCCCGUUCCGCGAGGAGAGGGAGGGGACCGGCCGGCUGGGGGCCGGGAGGGAGGCAGUGAGCGGGCGCCUGGAGCCGAGGAAACCUGGCCACUCCCAGCGGCCGGAGAUAACGCGCGUAAGCGCCGAAGCUGCUCAGAGGCGCGCGCCCCUCAUCACUACCUUUGAUAAACCCUUGCUGGGCCGGGGAUUUAGCUCAGUGGGUCCGGCGCCUCCCUUGAAAGCGCAAGGUUCCGAGUUUGAUGCCCGGUACAAAACAGCAACAACAAAAAAACAACUUUGCUACCAUUUGUGCUUGGCCUGACUAAUUCUUUGCUCAGGACAGAAAGAACCUGGAAUACACCCGCAGAAGGAGACUCCAGCACCCCCAAACCCAAUAAUAUAUUUGGCUUUAGUCAGCCAGUAGAGCAGAAGGAGCAACUGACGAUUUGAGAGUUUAUGUGUCUUAGUCAAGAUCACACAGCUGGUGCUUCUUCCUUGGAACAAGAGGAUCUCAUGAUUUGACAGAAUAUGUUUUGAAUACCCAAGGAGGGCCUCCUUUUGAAGGCUUACACUGCAGCGUCUCUCAAGAUUUGAGUUUACUCAGAAAAGAAAGGAAACAAGAAUGGCCUGCACACAGAAAGAUAAUGGCCCAUUUUGCAGUCAAAAGGUACCGAUAAACGGUGUUCUCACUUCUCAGAAACUUGUAUACAUGUAUUCAUAGUAGUAUUGUAAGUAAGGGCCAGAAGGUAGAAACACCUCAAGGGUCAAUUAAUAG